AGGACGAACGCUGGCGGCGUGCUUAACACAUGCAAGUGGAGCGACGAACCAGGGCUUGCCCUGGGGCAGAGCCGCGAACGGGUGAGUAACACGUGGGUUACCUGCCUCGAUGACCGGGACAACCCGAGGAAACUCGGGCUAAUACCGGAUGUGCCCGCAAGGGGAAAGGAAGCUUCGGCCUCCGCAUUGAGAUGGGCCCGCGGCCCAUUAGCUUGUUGGUGAGGUAACGGCUCACCAAGGCUUCGAUGGGUAGCUGGUCUGAGAGGACGAUCAGCCACACUGGGACUGAGACACGGCCCAGACUCCUACGGGAGGCAGCAGUGGGGAAUCUUGCGCAAUGCGCGAAAGCGUGACGCAGCAACGCCGCGUGGGGGAAGACGGCUUUCGGGUUGUAAACCCCUUUCAGUUGGGACGAAGCUCCGCCGAUGAAUAGUCGGUUGGGGUGACGGUACCUUCACAAGAAGCACCGGCUAACUACGCGCCAGCAGCCGCGGU
rnacentral:rRNA from 1 species